AGCCGCAAUUCGUGCUAAGGUAGCAUAAUCAUUUGUCUUUUAAAUGAAGACUAGAACAAAAGAUUUAACUUUUCAAAGACUAUCAUAACUUUUUCUAUUAAAAUUAUCUUAAAUGUAAAAAGACAUUUAUAUAAAAGAAAGACGAUAAGACCCUAUUGAACUUUACUUUAGUUAAACUGGGGUAGUUAAUUAAUUAUUAUUUUAAUCCAAAUAUUUAAAUAAAUAUCCAUAAUAAUGAUAAUUUAGUUACCAUAGGGAUAACAGCGUAAUUACUCUUACGAGACCUUAUCUAAACAGUAGAUUGCGACCUCGAUGUUGAAUUAAUAACCUAUUUCAAGCAAAAUUUUAAUAAGGAAGUCUGUUCGACCUUUAAAAAAUUACAUGAUUUGAGUUCAGACCGGUAUAAGCCAGGUCGGUUUCCAUCUUCUACACAAUUUUUUACAGUACGAAAGGACCUAAAAAUAUUAAAUCUUAUUAAUAUGGCAGACAAAUGCAUUAGAAUUAGAAUCUAAUAAACUAAUA
rnacentral:rRNA from 1 species